AUCUACUACCCACUCCAUAUAUCAUCAUUCCUUAACUUCUCUGUCUAGAUAUGAACUUCUUUGCUUCUACUCUUUUGUUAUGAACGUGGCUGAUUUAGAGGUUCAGCUCCUCCAGAUAAGAGAAGGGAAAUCAGAAAAGUUCUAAGAUAAGGAAUUCCAGCUUUUUCUUAUUAAUCCUUCUGUUAUUUACAUAGUAUUUAUAGAUCCUAGGAAGGAAUAAUUUUCUUCUAGAAUUGGUAUAAUCCUAGGAAUAUAACUAAUUCUGUUAUGGUUGCUUUUCCCUCAGAUACGCAGCAUGCAUCAGCAGGAGGAUUGUGGAGGAUCGUGUGAGCUGGCAAUUUCCAUUAGAUUCCUUCAGACGAAUCCUUCAAAUAGGUGGGCUUUUUGACCUUUCUUUUGAGUAUUGUUUCCUUCUGCACCCCUGUGUUUGUGAGUUCACCUUCUGUGCUUGCUGUUAUGUCUAUGCUGCCCUUCAUUGAAGCUUCUCUUCAUAACAUCUUUGUUGUUUUUUCAAGUGUUUGGUGAAUUAAUGGAUAUUUAUUUUAUUCAUGCGCAUGUUAUGCCCAACCUCGAAUUUGCCCUUACUAAUAACAACCUAACUGUACAUUUUAUUUCUUAUUUUUUAGUUGAUUAAAUUUCUUUAUUUUUAAUAUUAAAAAAGUUAUAUUUUUUCCUAUUUAAAAUUUUUAAGUUGCUAGUUUUAUUUAAAUUAUUGAGAGUUUACUAUUAAUGCGAGAUAAAAUAAUUUUAAAAGUAAUAAAAUGUACUAAAAAUCUGAUAAAAAUUGAGAAAUAAAUUAUACUCGUCUUUCUUAUUAUUACAUUAAUUACUUUUAAGUUGCUAGUUUUAUUUAAAUUAUUGAGAGUUUACGAUAAAUGUGAGAUAAAAUAAUUUUAAAAGUAAUAAAAUUUAGUAAAAAUCUGAUAAAAAUUGAAAAAUAAAUUAUACUUGUCUUUCUUAUUGUUACAUUAAUUAUUACACUGUCCUCUAUUCUUAUUGUUGAAUCAUAUAAUUUAGUCCAUUUAACUUAACAUCUUUAUAUAAUAUUCUUUAAAAGAUUUUAAAAUAUCUUUAAAUAAAAUUGCAUACUAAAAUAUUUCCAAUGGAUCGAGUUAUCCUUCCUUCACUGACGCUAUGUUUUUGGAACGUGAGACUGAUAUAAUAUUCUGCAGACAGAAAUAAGAGGAUUGAGUUUGCAAUGUGAGAAAAUGAAAUAAAUAAGUUUAAAAAUGGUAGAACCCACUUGUAUUAUUUCUCACUUAUUUUUACUCAUCUCUUCCUCUCAUUUUAUCUUUAUUUUUCUUCAACCAAACACAUUUAAUCAUCACUUUAUUUCUCACUUAUUUUUCUACUCUCAGCAUCUUUACUUUCAUCUACUUUAUUUCUCUCCACUGUACCAAACACAAACUCAAUGUCCUAGCAUUGCUUCUCUUUUGCAAGGAGUUGUAGGCAAAGUAAACACUUUGGAAGUGACAAAACAUCUAACCAAAUUUACUGUUAGUAGUAUAUAAAAAGACUAAAAAUGACGGUUCAAUGAAAAAAUAAUUUAUGACCGAAAUAUAUUAUAAAAAUCAAAUAAUUUUUAGUAACAUUUUUGUGUAAUCAAAUGCACAAAUAUAUUAACAAAUAGUCUUCUACUAAAGAACUAACCAAACCAGGAGGUCAGUUUGGCUUUGGCAAAUUUAUUAUCGACCAACAAUAAUUUUCAUGAAUGGGACAGAUAUGCGACACUACCUGCAGAGAAAUCCCAUCCUCCCCAACCCUUGCAGGCAAAAAACAGACAAAUAUGUAAACUACAUCCAUCCAAAAUGAAUGGAAAAUCACCCGGCUUUAGAUGCCUCACAUGUAGAUUUCGGCCCUAUGUUCUUCCUCACAAAUUCCGACAAUCUUGCACUAGCAGCACGCCCUCGAUCUAGGCAGUGAAGAUAAUCAUCCACUAGGAAAAGAAAAAAAAAUCAGAAAACUAAUUAGAUCACUGUGAAAUGUUAAAACUGAAUACCAUAUUUUGACCUUAUCAUUUUUUAGUAUUUUAGUACCUAUAUUUAUAAUAUUUUUCUGAUUAUAAUAAGGAAAGAAGAACGAACAAUCAGGUCCACCAGAAGUGCUUUAAUAGAUUCAUGACCCAAGCCCAAUUAGAUUUUGUUAUAAUAUUUAUUUUCGGUUUUUCCAAUUUUCCCCAAAAUUUAAUACAAUUGGAGGUAGCUCCAUUCAUUUUCUCAGUUGCAACAAUCACAGAACAAAAAAAAAUCUACACAAGCGCAUACUGUGCAAGCAUAUGCUAAAGCACUAGGCCAAUGUUGGAAAAGAUAGAUACUUAUGGCACGAACAAUUCCUAUUGAAGGUACCAACUAAAAAAAGGUUGAAGAAAGUGUGGCAAAAUACCUGACAUAGCACCCUGUGUAACAGAUGUCAUGAUUCCAUGUGCCAUAGGCUCACUACCCACCUGCGAUGAUCUCUCUGG
rnacentral:lncRNA from 1 species